rnacentral:misc_RNA from 1 species
AACCAUAGAAACCUGCGGAGUACCUGCGGAAGGAUCAUUACAGAGUUGCAAAACUCCCUAAACCAUUGUGAACGUUACCUAAACCGUUGCUUCGGCGGGCGGCCCGGGUCCUUCCCGGCGCCCAUCGGCCCUCGCGGGCGCCCGCCGGAGGUAAACCAAACUGUUGCAUUGUAUGGCCUCUCUGAGUCUUCUGUACUGAAUAAGUCAAAACUUUUAACAACGGAUCUCAGAUCGGAAGAG